UGACCUUGUAAAUGUGGAUCAAUGGCUCGUUGCAAACAAACUAACCUUAAAUGAGGGCAAAACGGAAUUUAUAAUAAUAGGCUCAAGGCAACGAGUGUCUUCUUUCGAACAUGGUCCCUUAAUUAAACUUGGUGACAAAGUAAUUAAGCGUGUACCACAUAAAAAAAUACUUGGUGUUAUCUUAGAUGAACAACUUAAGUGGGACAAACAUAACGAGGAACAAAGUAAAACAAUUUCAAAGAACAUUGCUCUGCUAAGAAGAGCUAAGUCUUUCGUUCCCAGACAUGUUCUGGAGAAAAUGUAUAACGCUUUUAUGAUUCCUAAUUUUUACUAUUGUUCGACUGUGUGGCAUGACGGAAGUAAAAACAAAUUAACUAAAAUGUCUAAACUUCAAAAGAAAGCGGCACGAGUAAUUACCGGUGAUUCCUACGAUAUUCGAUCUAACGAAGUAUUUCAAAAACUUAACUGGUUACCAAUGAGCACAUAUUUACAAACUCGAGAGAACAUAGCUACUUUCGAGGCAUUAAUCGGAAAUUCGCCUCCAUGUCUUACUAAAUUAUUUAAUCGUUGCUCGAAUGAAACAUAUAAUUUGAGAAGUAAUUUUGACCAACUGUCAUUAGCAAAACCUAGCACAAAUUUUCUUAAGAAAAGCUUUUCCUAUAGAGCGGCAAAAUCGUGGAACAACCUUCCCUUAACUUUAACGCAAAACAUCGGUAAUAAAACAGCGAAUGUAUUAAAGACAUUGCUCAUCAAUCACUAUGGUAACGACUAUAGUGAUUGACGAGUACCCCUUGUACGUGUACUUUAUAUGCUGUAAUAAUUAAGUAUUAUUGUACUAGUAAAGAUAAUUAGUAUACAUUGUUGUAUUAGUGACUGAGUAGUGUGAAGCUGAUGAGUAGUUAGGCUUCAUAAUUAUUAUUGUAAAUUUUUAUUGUGUACACGGCCCAUUGAAAACCAGCGAAUGCUGAAUGGCUACCGUGUUUAAAUCAUUUUAAUAAAACAAUAAAACAGCCUCAAAAUAUAGAGGAUAUUAGACGAUUACGAAGAGAUAUGGAUUUUAUGUACGAGUUGCAAAAACAAUAUCGCAGGAGUGAGCGCAGCCAACGAGUGAGAUAUUAUUUUUGACACGAGAACAUAAAUCCAUAUAUUCUCGCAACUGUUUAAUGUUCUGUUUAUUAUAUGGACUCAUUCAGAGUGACAAAAAUACACACAAUGACACAAAGACGACAUUUAAAUAAGCACGCGAAAGACCAGUGUAAAAGCGAUAUUUUUUUAAAUUAUAGUGCAAACAUAGAACUAGAAUAAAUUUUACUUAUCUCAAGAUGUCUUUUAAAUGUUUUCGUUUUAUUUCCAACGUUAAUUUCGUUUUAAAUACGAACCAAAGACCAUUUGUAUUUCCAAAACAACAAUGAAAAUGGCGGGAAAUUUUCAAACUUCGUAUGUCACUAGCAUAGAUCACUAGCA